GACGAACGCUGGCGGCGUGCUUAACACAUGCAAGUCGAACGGAAAGGCCCUGCUUUUGUGGGGUGCUCGAGUGGCGAACGGGUGAGUAACACGUGAGUAACCUGCCCUUGACUUUGGGAUAACUUCAGGAAACUGGGGCUAAUACCGGAUAGGAGCUCCUGCUGCAUAGUGGGGGUUGGAAAGUUUCGGCGGUUGGGGAUGGACUCGCGGCUUAUCAGCUUGUUGGUGGGGUAGUGGCUUACCAAGGCUUUGACGGGUAGCCGGCCUGAGAGGGUGACCGGCCACAUUCGGACUGAGAUACGGCCCAGACUCCUACGGGAGGCAGCAGUGGGGAAUAUUGCACAAUGGGCGGAAGCCUGAUGCAGCAACGCCGCGUGCGGGAUGACGGCCUUCGGGUUGUAAACCGCUUUCGCCUGUGACGAAGCGUGAGUGACGGUAAUGGGUAAAGAAGCACCGGCUAACUACGUG
rnacentral:rRNA from 1 species